AUGGACGAUGGGGAGUUAGAUUUCUCAAACCAAGAUUUGUUAUCUAGUCCAAAUAUCGGUGAGAUUCCAAGCAGUUGUUCUUUUGAUUUCUUGGAUGAGCUACUGAAGGACACCCAUGCUUGUACCCAUACACACACAUGCAAUCCUCCUGGCCCUGACUAUUCUCACACACACACUUGCUAUCAUGUGCAUACAAAAAUUUUGCCCCCUGCCGAGGACAAGGUUGUAAGUGAUGAUACUGCGGAGUCCACGGAUAAAAAAUCAAAGAAACGAUCGUCAGGCAAUAGGGAGGCUGUCCGAAAGUAUAGGGAGAGGAAGAAGGCAAAGGCUGCAUCUUUGGAGGAUGAAGUUAAGCAUUUGCGAGCUUUGAACCAGCAGUUACUGAAGAGGCUGCAAGGACAGGCUGCAUUGGAGGCAGAGGUUGCAAGACUCAAGUGUUUACUUGUGGACAUUAGGGGGAGGAUUGAAGGGGAAAUUGGAUCAUUUCCAUAUCAGAAAUCAGCCAAUAAUGUGAAUUUGGCCAAUCCAAAUAUUCCUGGUUCUCUUGUGAUGAAUCCAUGCAACAUACAGUGUGAUGGCCAGAUUUAUUGUCAGCGUCCGGUGCUGGAUAGCAAAGGUGGAGAAGGUGCACCAUUGAAUGGGCAAGGGUUUAGCAGUUGUGAGAUUGAGAAUCUUCAGUGUAUGGAGUAUCAGAAUUCAGGAAUGAUAGGCUUAUCUGGGUGUAGCCUUGGGAAUGAAGCAACAAAUGGCAAUUCUUCCAGUACAAAUAAGAGAAAGAAGGGGAUCGUGGAGCAAGUUUAAGCUGAAAAAACUGCCAAACCAAGGUCAGCCUUUUCUGUGAGGAUGCAUGUGCUUCCCCAAAGUACUUAUGUUGAGAGGCAGCACCAGCUUCAUCAAGAUGCUUUGUUGGGUUUGUGAAACACAGAUCCCAUCUAUAAGAUGAUUCGAUCUAGGUGGACUCGUUGAACAUGAGAUCAAAAGCCCAAGUUGUCUAAUGGAAGGUACGUACAGAGGAGACAAAAGCGAGGCUUGCCAUUCACAGUGGAGGACUUAAUGAUCCUAUUUAUCCUUGUAUGAAGAAAUCAUGAUUUUUUUGUCAAAAGACACCUUUUGUUAUGUAUAAAUUCUCAAAAGAUUUUCUCAAAAUAGAAAUCUGUGAUCACAUGCAUGUUACCAGAACGUAGACCUAGCUUUGGCCAAGCAAAUAGAGUCUUUAAUUCCGCAAGGUACCUCGCUAACGAAUUCAGGUUAGCAGAGAAUCUUGCCUGCUCUUUUGUAAUAAUAUGGUACAUUGGGUUCAUGUUUU